rnacentral:rRNA from 1 species
UACAGAGGGUGCAAGCGUUAAUCGGAAUUACUGGGCGUAAAGCGUGCGUAGUCGGUUAUCUAAGUCGGGUGUGAAAUCCCCGGGCUCAACCUGGGAAUUGCAUUCGAUACUGGAUAGCUAGAGUUCGGCAGAGGGAAGCGGAAUUUCUGGUGUAGCGGUGAAAUGCGUAGAUAUCAGAAGGAACAUCAGUGGCGAAAGCGGCUUCCUGGACCAGAACUGACGAUCAGGCACGAAAGCGUGGGGAGCAAACAGG